rnacentral:lncRNA from 12 species
GGGGGGGGGGGGGGGGGGGGGGGGGGGGGGGGGGGGGGGGGGGGGGGGGGGGGGGGGGGGGGGGGGGGGGGCACCUCCCUGUCACACCCCCGUGUCACCCCUGUAACCCCCCCAACGGCUACCCGGGUGAGGGACAGUGCCACCUCCUGCCACCUCCUGCCACCUCCGGUCACUGUCACACCCCUGUCACCUCCCUGUCACACCCCCGUGUCACCCCUGUAACCCCUGUCACCCCCCACAACGGCUACCCGGACCUCCUGGUUGGCGCCUUCGGGGCGGACACGGCGCUGGUUUACAGGUGAGUGUCACCUGUGUCGCCUCUGUCACCCCCUGGGGGGUCCCGGGGGUCUCAGGGGGUCCCUGACCCUCUGUCCCCCCCCAGGGGUCGCCCCAUUGUCCACGCCAGCGCCACCCUGGCCAUUGUCCCCACCAUGAUCAACCCCGAGGAGCGCGGCUGCGUCCUGCCGGCCACGGGCCACCACGUGCCAUGGUGG